rnacentral:rRNA from 1 species
GAUGAACGCUGGCGGCGUGCCUAAUACAUGCAAGUCGAGCGAACAGACGAGGAGCUUGCUCCUCUGACGUUAGCGGCGGACGGGUGAGUAACACGUGGAUAACCUACCUAUAAUACUGGGAUAACUUCGGGAAACCGGAGCUAAUACCGGAUAAUAUAUUGAACCGCAUGGUUCAAUAGUGAAAGACGGUUUUGCUGUCACUUAUAGAUGGAUCCGCGCCGCAUUAGCUAGUUGGUAAGGUAACGGCUUACCAAGGCAACGAUGCGUAGCCGACCUGAGAGGGUGAUCGGCCACACUGGAACUGAGACACGGUGCAGACUCCUACGGGAGGCAGCAGUGGGGAAUCUUCCGCAAUGGGAGAAAGCCUGACGGAGCAACGCAGCGUGAGUGAUGAAGGUCUUCGGAUCUUAAAACUCUGUUAUUAGGGAAGAACAAAUGUGUAAGUAACUAUGCACGUCUUGACGGUACCUAAUCAGAAAGCCACGGCUAACUACGUG